CCCGACAGCCAUAUCACCCUGUAGCCCACGGAAGCUAAGCGGGGUUGAGUCUGGUCAGUACCUGGAUGGGAGACCUCCUGGGAAAACUAGGUUGCUGCUGGAA
rnacentral:rRNA from 1 species